rnacentral:lncRNA from 1 species
GUGUGGCUGGGCUGUUAAUCUGCUCUCUGAAGUGCUUGGAGGUGGUCAGCCAUCACGCCAAGAGUGUGGUAUGAAAGGAGAAUAAAAAAGGUGGCAGCAUAUCGGUUUUGGUGCUAUUCCUCACUCGUUAACAGGGACAUGUUAAGGUUUUAGCUCUCAUUUCGAAGUGAUGUUACAUGGGAGGAAUGCCUGUGAUUUAUUGCCAUGAAAACUACAGCAGAGACAAGGAGCGUUGCAGUGCCAUUUGCAGAGCAAAUUGUCAGCUGUAAAGUACUGAUUUCCAACACAGGCACAGCCGUUAGCCAUGCAUUUUUGCCAGCAAGGAAUGACGACUUUGAAAACCACUGAUGCUACAAGAAAACCCACGGUGGUUGCAAAACAUGCAGUGGGCAAAGAGAUAGUGAUGCAUCACUGAGAAAGAAACUAAGCUGGAUUUCAAGCACUAAUAACCUUAAAUCCUGACCAGCAUGACGAGAAAUACACAGCAGCUUUGGAGAUAACUUGAUUUGCUUUGGUCUUCAUUGGUCAGUGCCUAUCAAAGCUAGGUUGAUGAAAGCUACUUCUUGAGCUCAGAGAAGUUCAUAGAGGAACACAGCAGUCCUAAGAUAGUGAGGAAUCCAUUGGCAGAGAGAUUGGAGCUGCAGAAGUGAGUUGUUGAGAUUCACUUGAUGUGUUCGAAGGAUGUUUUUCUGUAGAUUAACGUGGAAGAAGGAAAAGUAACCUCCCAGUUCCUGCCUGGUGAUAAGAAAAUAGGCCAUUCAUAGCUGACAAGCUCCCCUAUCCAGAACAACAAACACGGCCGUUCUGUGGAAUUAAGUAUUUCAAGGUACAGCUCUUUG